AAAGAACUUCAUCUACAACAUUUGGGCAGAAAUAGAGGAGUUCCAACUCUGCAUGUUCUGAUGGGUUGUGUAAUAAGGUAAAUCAACAACAGGAAAUGGAUACACCCAUCCUGUGGACAUAGCUUGGAAGGUUUGUUCCUUAAGUAAGAGGAGGCUUAAGCAUCCAAUAAGAGACAAGGCUCAGAUUCAUUCCCCAGGAGCUGAUUCUUAACUUUGGGGUGCAUGCAACUUGUAACAGGGGCAAUGGCAGAAGAAGCCAGACUAUCUUGGGUCCAAAUCUUGGCCCUGGAAACAGUAACUGGAAGAUCUUGAGAGCGUCUCUUAAUUUCUCUUCCUUCUCUACAUGAAGAGGUUUUUAUCUGGCAGCGUCUUGCGAGAUUGAAAUUCCUUUUGCUUUGCCUCAGACGUGGUUACUCCCUCCACAUGCAAGCCCC